rnacentral:rRNA from 1 species
AUUGAACGCUGGCGGCAGGCCUAACACAUGCAAGUCGGGCGAGCGGGGGACGGGUGAGUAAUGUAUGGGGAUCUGCCUGCUGGAGGGGGCUAACUACUGGAAACGGUCGCUAAUACCGCAUAACAUCAGAUUAACCCAUAUGGGAUUAGCUUAUAGGUGAGGUAACGGCUCCCCUAGGCGACGCUCCCUAUCUGGUCUGAGAGGAUGAGCAGCCACACUUGGACUGAGACACGGCCCAGACUCCUACGGGAGGCAGCAGUGGGGAAUAUUGCACAAUGGGGGAAAGCCUGAUGCAGCCAUGCCGCGUGUAUGAAGAAGGCCUGCGGGUUGUAAAGUACUUUCAGUCGGGAGGCGUUAACGACAGAAGAAGCACCGGCUAACUCCGUGCCAGCCGCCGCGGUAAUAC